rnacentral:lncRNA from 1 species
UUUUCUUUCUUUUUUCUUUUUUUUACAUUAGUUUCAAAAAUUAGUAACUUUUCUCAAUUUAGUCUUUGAAUUUAUAUUUUAUUAAGAUAUGAUGGCGUGACAUUUUAAGAUUUUUAUUAAAUUUUCAGAUGAUGAUAUAGUACAAUUUUAGAGUAUCACAUCAUCACACUUUAAUAAAUCUAAAUUUAAGGACCAAAUUGAAAAAAAAUUACUAAGUCUUAGUUUGUUUACUUGUAAAAGCUUUUCCGUAAAAGCUUUUCAGGAUGUUUGGUUGGCAGAAAAAAAUUUCCACGGUAAAACAAUUUACAAGACACGGGAAAAUAAAGUUUACCCUUUUUAUUUCUGUAAGACAAGUUUCUCCUUUUCACAUCCAACUUGCUAAAUGCUUUCUCCUUCUCCUUCCUCUUCCCUUCAUUGUGUCCCCGACCCAAGAUUCCUCUUUGUAUAAAAAACAACCAGCAGUAGCUUAGUUGACGAAAAGAAAAAAGCCCUAUCCAUUGUCUUUUGAGAAAUGAAACUCUCAUCUAAAAAGCCCCUGCCCUGAUGUAUUCCCAAUUCUUCCUGAAAGACGGGCAUUCUCAAGCAGCGGAGUCAAUAGCAAUUGGCAUCCUUACAAAGAAAGAUGCUCAAGAAAGACCAGUAGCAGCCUAGCCCUUUUCUUGCGAAGAGGGGAUUAUGCUCGGCGAAUCGACAUCAUAUCACACACAGAGGUAAGGAAUGCGGAAAGAUGCAUAGCCUUGCUAAAGGAAUGCCUCAGGGCAUAGCAAAAAAGGUAGGACUAGUUCUUCUUCAAUUGCGAAAACUGCUGAUUCGAGAACAAGGACAACUUCUUCCUUGGCACAGCUACCAGCCAAAGCAAAACAAUUUGGUGAUUUUUUCUCUUCAAUUUUUUCGUCUAUUUCCCUUCAGCGAUUUGCUUUCAUGGGAUUAGCUGGGAUCCUGAUGAGGUUCAAUUUGUGAUAGAGUUAAUAUUUUGUGUUUGAAUUAGGCCUUUUGAUGCGUUUGAUUUUAUGGGUAUUUGAUUUUGAACCAUUUCUCUUUAUUAGAUUGUCUGUUUUAUACUACAAUGUUGGAAUGGAAUGGAUGUUAGCAAAGAUGGGUGAUUUGUGGUUACCUUUAAUUUUGUAAAAUGGAUGAAAUGGCUAAUUCUUUGUUUGGUAGUAUUACUUAUUUUUAUCCUCUGCUUUGCGUUUCUUGAUUCGUGAUUAAUAGUGUUGUGUGCUUUGCCUGAUUGUAUUUUGUUAAUCUCCCAUGUAUCAGAAAUAGACAUGGAGAAGUUAAUUCUUUAUGUACUCCUCCAUGCACAAAAAAUAAGGAAGGGAAAGCACUUAUGGGAUGUGUUGAGGCCCAAUUUUGGCCCAGAUACAAACCAACCCAACUGCCCCAAAAACCCAAAACUAAGCCCAAACCUAACCUAACCCUAGCCUACUAUCCUAAACUCCUCCAAGAAACCUUAGCCCCUAGGUGUGCCGCCCCUAGUCUUUGGCCUCUGCCAUGCCGCCGACGUCAUCCCCUCUGCCACCACCUACUCCAUC